GCAAGCAUGGUAUAGCGGUUUAAAUGUUGUACUAUAACUUUGGAGACCAGAGUUCGAUUCCCAGUUCUGCCA